rnacentral:rRNA from 1 species
ACGGGUGAGUAACACGUGGGAACGUGCCCUUCGGUUCGGAAUAACUCAGGGAAACUUGAGCUAAUACCGGAUACGCCCUUAUGGGGAAAGGUUUACUGCCGAAGGAUCGGCCCGCGUCUGAUUAGCUUGUUGGUGGGGUAACGGCCUACCAAGGCGACGAUCAGUAGCUGGUCUGAGAGGAUGAUCAGCCACACUGGGACUGAGACACGGCCCAGACUCCUACGGGAGGCAGCAGUGGGGAAUAUUGGACAAUGGGCGCAAGCCUGAUCCAGCCAUGCCGCGUGAGUGAUGAAGGCCUUAGGGUUGUAAAGCUCUUUUGUCCGGGACGAUAAUGACGGUACCGGAAGAAUAAGCCCCGGCUAACUUCGUGCCAGCAGCCGCGGUAAUACGAAGGGGGCUAGCGUUGCUCGGAAUCACUGGGCGUAAAGGGCGCGUAGGCGGCCGAUUAAGUCGGGGGUGAAAGCCUGUGGCUCAACCACAGAAUUGCCUUCGAUACUGGUUGGCUUGAGACCGGAAGAGGACAGCGGAAUUGCGAGUGUAGAGGUGAAAUUCGUAGA